UCCGUAGGGUGAACCUGCGGAGGGAUCAUUACACAAAUAUGAAGGCGGGCUGGAACCUCUCGGGGUUACAGCCUUGCUGAAUGUAUUCACCCUUGUCUUUUGCGUACUUCUUGUUUCCUUGGUGGGUUCGCCCACCACUAGGACAAACAUAAACCUUUUGUAAUUGCAAUCAGCGUCAGUAACAAAUUAAUAAUUACAACUUUCAACAACGGAUCUCUUGGUUCUGGCAUCGAUGAAGAACGCAGCGAAAUGCGAUAAGUAGUGUGAAUUGCAGAAUUCAGUGAAUCAUCGAAUCUUUGAACGCACAUUGCGCCCUUUGGUAUUCCAAAGGGCAUGCCUGUUCGAGCGUCAUUUGUACCCUCAAGCUUUGCUUGGUGUUGGGCGUCUUGUCUCUAGCUUUGCUGGAGACUCGCCUUAAAGUAAUUGGCAGCCGGCCUACUGGUUUCGGAGCGCAGCACAAGUCGCACUCUCUAUCAGCAAAGGUCUAGCAUCCAUUAAGCCUUUUUUUCAACUUUUGACCUCGGAUCAGGUAGGGAUACCCGCUGAACUUAAGCAUAUCAAUAAGCGGAGGA
rnacentral:rRNA from 1 species